AGCGGGACAGGCCGGACAGUGGGACAGGACGGAGAACGGGACAGGCUGGACAAUGGGAUGGGCCAGAGAACGGGACGGGCCGGACAACGAGCCAGACGCUCCCCAGGAACGGGAUUGGGAUUUGGGAUUUGGGAUUCUCCUCAACACCGGCGGCUCCCGGUCCCGCCCGAACGGGGCCGCGCCCUCACGGGUUGUGCCUGCAGAGUUGUGGGGUUGGCGCCAAAAUUUUGGGGUCCUGACGUUGUCCCCAAAGAUUUUGGGUCCUGGUGUUGCCCAAAAAAGCUUUGGGGUCUUGGCAUUGUCACCGAAAUUUGUGGGGUUCCAGCAUUGUCCCCAAAAUUUUGGGGUCCUAAGGUUGUCCCCAGAAGUUUUGGGGUCCUGGCGUUGUCCCCAGGGUGUCCCCAAAGGUGGCGGGGACACACAGGGGACACAGCCCCCCCCCGGACUGUCCCCGCCCGGCUGGCACCAGGAUGAGCCAGACUUCAGGAUUUGGGACUUCAGGAUUUGGGAUUUUGGGGUUCCGGGACCACUCCCGGCCGAUGGAAUCCUCGCUCUGCCAUAUAAACUCAUUAAUUAAUGCCAAUUAAAGACGUUUCCUACAA